AUGUGUGGCAACUUCAGCUUUGUACCAGGGAGUGAGGAUAUGCAGAUUUUCGGAUGGAGAGUGGCGACCCAAUCUCUUGCUACCAAACAUAACACCUACAGAAGAACUAUUGUAUUGGAAGAUGUUUGUGACAUUUGUGGGACGGAAAGUGAAGACGAGUAUCAUGUUGUAGUCUCAUGUACUCGCAGUAGGGCGAUGAGAUGUGCUAUGAGGGCUUUCUGGGACCUUCCAAAGGAACAUGCCUUUGGUCCAACAGGCAAGGAUUGGUUACAAUGUCUGCUUAUCCCUAAUUCCGAGCAUAUCAGAUGCAAAAUCCUGAUGAUUCUUUGGAAAACAUGGCAGCUUAGAAAUAAUCUAAUCCAUGGAGAUGGGAAGGAGACAGUUACUUAG
rnacentral:rRNA from 1 species